rnacentral:misc_RNA from 1 species
AAGUCGUAACAAGGUUUCCGUAGGUGAACCUGCGGAAGGAUCAUUACCGAGUUAGGGUGUCGCCUCGGCGCGCCCGACCUCCCAACCCUUUGUCUACCUUACCACAACGUUGCUUCGGCAGGCCCGCCGACCCCUGGAGUCCGCUCUAGGGCGAGGCCGCCGGGGGCUCUGUGCCCCGGGCCCGUGCCUGUCGAUGGCCCCUUCUUAAACUCAUGUCUAAACGUGUCGUCUGAGCAAUAAUUAUAAUGCAAACCAAAACUUUCAACAACGGAUCUCUUGGUUCUG